rnacentral:rRNA from 1 species
UACGUAGGGUGCGAGCGUUAAUCGGAAUUACUGGGCGUAAAGCGUGCGCAGGCGGUUUUGUAAGCCAGAUGUGAAAUCCCCGGGCUUAACCUGGGAAUGGCAUUUGGGACUGCAAGGCUGGAGUGUGGCAGAGGAGACUGGAAUUCCUGGUGUAGCAGUGAAAUGCGUAGAUAUCAGGAGGAAUACCGGUGGCGAAGGCAGGUCUCUGGGCUGACACUGACGCUCAUGCACGAAAGCGUGGGGAGCAAACAGG